UACGUAGGGGGCGAGCGUUGUUCGGAAUUACUGGGCGUAAAGGGCGUGUAGGCGGUGCGGUAAGUCGAGUGUGAAAUCCCCAGGCUCAACCUGGGGCGGUCGCUCGAGACUGCCGUGCUCGAGUGUGGGAGAGGGAAGUGGAAUUCCCGGUGUAGCGGUGAAAUGCGUAGAUAUAGGAAGGAACACCAGUGGCGAAGGCGACCACCUGGGCUCAUACUGACACUGAGGUGCGAAAGCGUGGGGAGCAAACAGG
rnacentral:rRNA from 1 species